UUUGAACGCAAGUUGCGCCCGAGGCCUUCUGGUCGAGGGCACGCCUGCCUGGGCGUCACGUCAAAAGACACUCCCAACCCAUCCAAGGGGAGGGACGUGGUGUUUGGCCUCCCGUGCCGCAAGGCGCGGUUGGCCGAAGUUGAGGCUGCCGGCAUACCGUGUCGGGCACCGCACGUGGUGGGCGACUUCAAGUUGUUCUCGGUGCAGCGCCCCGGCACGUAGCUAGCGCGUUGCCCUAAGGACCCAUCGACCGUAGCGCUUGUUGCUCGGACCGCGACCCCAGGUCAGGCGGGACUACCCGCUGAGUUUAAGCAUAUAAAUAAGCGGAGGAGAAGAAACUUACAAGGAUUCCCCUAGUAACGGCGAGCGAACCGGGAGCAGCCCAGCU
rnacentral:rRNA from 1 species